UACGUAGGGUGCAAGCGUUGUCCGGAAUCACUGGGCGUAAAGCGCACGUAGGCGGAUUGCUAAGUCAGGGGUGAAAUCCUGGAGCUCAACUCCAGAACUGCCCUUGAUACUGGCGGUCUCGAGUCCGGGAGAAGUGAGUGGAACUGCGAGUGUAGAGGUGAAAUUCGUAGAUAUUCGCAAGAACACCAGUGGCGAAGGCGGCUCACUGGCCCGGUACUGACGCUGAGGUGCGAAAGCGUGGGGAGCAAACAGG
rnacentral:rRNA from 1 species